rnacentral:tRNA from 1 species
GUAAAUAUAGUUUAAGAAAAAAAACAUUAGAUUGUGAAUCUAGCAAUAGAAGGCCAAAACUUCUUAUUUACC